UUUCGGGUUAAUUGUGUAGGGUUAGUCGGGUUUUUAAUUUGAAAAAAUCACCCGAAACCCGACCAUAUUAAGCUACGGGUUAGUUGGGUUCGGGUCAAUCGGGUUUCGGAAUGAUAGAGUCGGGUCAUUUGGGUUAGUCGGGUUGAUACUGGUAAUCCAUUAUGUAAUCUAAUUUUCCUAUUUUCAUAAUCUAUUAGAGAUAAAUAAACAUUACAUUCUUUUUAACUAACUUGGUUGAAUUUAUCAUUCACAUAAGGUUUACUUUUGAAGCAGUUUGUUUAUCAUUAUGGCGGAACAUUUUGAACAUUUUGGGUGCAUGAAUAAUAGAAAGUCCAUGCAAGUGAUUCUAGGAAGAAAGUAAGUACACAUCUUAUUUAAUUAAACAUUUUGGUGGUAUUACUCAUAUAUCAAUUGCAAAUUAACAAACGAAUUAAAAAUAGUAUCAAACAUGAUGCGUCAAAAGCCAAGAGUGAGGAAAAAAAGCCAACAGUGAGAAAGUUAUAACAUAAAUUAAUAAGUAUAAUAUAGAUUCACUAGAAAGAUCAAAAAUAAUUUAGUUAAUAGGAUCGUAUUUAUUAAUGAUCUAAUAUGGCAUUUCAAGUACUUGAUGAGAUUAAGUAUUAUUAUUCGGGUUAUUCGGGUCAACGCGAACCCGAAAAAAAAUGAUAUACAACGAACCCGAACCCCACCCUAAUUAUAGUUCGGGUUUAUCGGGUUAACCCAAAUAACCCGACUAUGAAUUUUUGACCCUAUUAAACUCGACCCAUUUAAGCUUAUUCCGGUUUGGGUCGGAUCGGGUUAGUCGGGUUCGGGUAGUUUUGACACCCCUAAUUAUGAUUUCGCAAAUAAUCAAUCAAACUAUCUUUAAUCUUUCAAUCAUCAGGUCCAUCCUAUACUCCUCAAAGUUCUUCCUUUGAAAAAAGCUUAUGAGGAAUCCAACCAAUAGGUACUUGUAUAAAAUGUUUUCUCGUUAUAUAAAACAUGUAUAAUGAUGGUUUUCUGGUAUUCUAAUAAAAAGAAAGAAAGAAUGUAAUUGACAUUGACUAAUUUCUCAUCAUUCUUUUAUUCGGUUGACCAUUAGGUGUGGUUUGUACUUGCGUUUGUUUCUUGUUCACAGAGAGUGGUGACACACGAGGUGAACUUGAAUUUACAUGAGCAUCUAUUUGAACUACAUGUUUGUUUGGAAUCGAUAAAUGAAGAGGUUCCAUUUGAAGAGGUAUUGAUAAUGGCUGAGAUACAAUGAUGCUCAUGUCUACUGGACUUGAUGAAAAAAGCUAUCCAACAUACCCCAUUGACUUCCACGAUUAUAGUCUACAAUAAAAAAAGAAUUCAGGGAUAUGAGAAACUUCACUCAGGAAUGCCAUUACACAGGAACAAGAAAGAUUUUGGAGUACAUGGAGUGUAUUAUAACAAGUCAAACGUAUGAAUGAAGCCAAAGCUGGAAGAGUCACAUUAAGGUCGUUGGAUCAGGCUGCCACAACUUGUAAUGUUGAUGAUAGCGAACGUCAAGCAUCACACAUGACUCCCCGUUAGCAAAUGAGAAGUAGCUUGUUGAUCAUUACAGCUCCAAGCAUCCAAAGGAGAAGCCUCCAGCUUGUAAAUGGGGUUUUGUGUUGUCUGUUUUUCUUUUUCAUUUGCAUGAUGAUGAUAUGUCUAGUGUUUCUUUUGUUUUGACAUUUUUAUAACAUUUACUCACUAUUGGAAUAAUGAUUUGUAUUUGAGAUAUUACUGAAAUGAAUUAUCUUUGUUAUUUAUGGUAUUUUAUUUUGUAUUAUGAGAUUUUUAAUGUAUUAUUUAAUUUGAAAAUUAAUAAAUAUAUAAAUUUAUUUUUUUUAAACAUUUAAAUUUACGAUACGCAAAAAUGUGUGUCAUCUUCAUUUAUGACAUGGCCUUUCUUGACAGGGGCUUUCUUGAUACGCAUUGCGUGUCAUUAACCCGCGCGUCGUAAGGUUACGACACGCGAAUGCGUGUCAUCUUCCUUUAUGACAGGGCCUUCCUUGAUACGCAUUGCGUGUCGUA